CAUUGGGCAAACCUGCUGACGGCUGCCAAGUAUGGAAUGCGUGGCUCUGCAGAGGAGUUGGUGACACCGCCAUGACUUGCAGGCAGGCCUGCUGCCACCUCUUCUACUCCUCCUACUCCAUCCUCUUCCAUAACCUCCUCGGCUGAGUCCUCUUCUGCUGCUGCGUCUUGCUCCACAUCAACGGAUAGGGGACGUAACAGGGAUUAAACUG